UCGGUUCACAAGGAUUGGAUCGUGCUCACACAGCCUGUCUGCGCUUGUUGUGGUCGCUCCACACAAGCUGUGCACUCCGGAGUCUAGACACACGAGGGGCAGUCGUCGUGUGCUGCCUGGACAGCCGCUAGCUGUCCGCAGGCGGUCUCGGGGGUAGUUGAGCAGUGAGACUCCUCCCCUAUGAGACUUAAAAACGUGAGAUUGAGAGCGAGCCUUCGGGUUAGCCGAGAGAUUGGGUGAUCUAAUGAAUAGCUCUUUUGUUGAACAUAGUAGUAUGGUAGCUAGCCUUUACUAUGAGUCACAUGCAUGAUUAUGGAUUAAGGCAUGGUAGAAUACUUGCAUUUCCUUAUUGUUAUCACUUUCAAGUAACUAUCUAUCUGUUUAUCUAUCUAUGCCUGCUUAGACCUAGUGGGGAGAUCGGCGGAAUCGGCGGC
rnacentral:lncRNA from 1 species